rnacentral:rRNA from 1 species
AAUCAACGCUGGCGGCGUGCCUAACACAUGCAAGUCGAACGAGAAAGUGGAGCAAUCCAUGAGUACAGUGGCGCACGGGUGAGUAACACGUGACUAACCUACCCUUGAGUGGGGGAUAACUGAGGGAAACCUUAGCUAAUACCGCAUAAUACCUACGGGUCAAAGGAGCAAUUCGCUUAAGGAGGGGGUCGCGGCCGAUUAGUUAGUUGGCGGGGUAAUGGCCCACCAAGACGAUGAUCGGUAUCCGGCCUGAGAGGGCGCACAGACACACUGGAACUGAAACACGGUCCAGACUCCUACGGGAGGCAGCAGUGGGGAAUUUUGCGCAAUGGGGGAAACCCUGACGCAGCAACGCCGCGUGGAGGAUGAAGUCCCUCGGGACGUAAACUCCUUUCGAUCGGGACGAUUAUGACGGUACCGGAAGAAGAAGCCCCGGCUAACUUCGUGCCAGCAGCCGCGGUAAUACGAGGGGGGCGAGCGUUGUUCGGAAUUAUUGGGCGUAAAGGGUGCGUAGGCGGUUUUGUAAGUCUUAUGUGAAAUCUAUGGGCUCAACUCAUAGACUGCAUGAGAAACUGCAGGGCUUGAGUGUGGGAGAGGUGAGUGGAAUUCCUGGUGUAGCGGUGAAAUGCGUAGAUAUCAGGAGGAACACCUGUGGCGAAAGCGGCUCACUGGUCCACAACUGACGUUGAUGCACGAAAGCUAGGGGAGCAAACAGGAUUAGAUACCCUGGUAGUCCUAGCCUUAAACGAUGACUGCUUGGUGUGACGGGUACCCAAUCCCGCCGUGCCGUAGCUAACGCGUUAAGCAGUCCGCCUGGGGAGUACGGUCGCAAGGCUG